GACGAACGCUGGCGGCGUGCUUAACACAUGCAAGUCGAACGGAAAGGCCCUGCUUUUGUGGGGUGCUCGAGUGGCGAACGGGUGAGUAACACGUGAGUAACCUGCCCUUGACUUUGGGAUAACUUCAGGAAACUGGGGCUAAUACCGGAUAGGAGCUCCUGCUGCAUGGUGGGGGUUGGAAAGUUUCGGCGGUUGGGGAUGGACUCGCGGCUUAUCAGCUUGUUGGUGGGGUAGUGGCUUACCAAGGCUUUGACGGGUAGCCGGCCUGAGAGGGUGACCGGCCACAUUGGGACUGAGAUACGGCGCAGACUGCUACGGGAGGCAGCAGUGGGGAAUAUUGCACAAUGGGCGGAAGCCUGAUGCAGCAACGCUGCGUGCGGGAUGACGGCCUUCGGGGUGUAAACCGCUUUCGCCUGUGACGAAGCGGGAGUGACGGUAAUGGGUAAAGAAGCACCGGCUAACUACGUG
rnacentral:rRNA from 1 species